ensembl:lncRNA
GCUAAAUAAAAACACUAAAAGAGCAGCUUUGAGUUGAUAGGAGCUGUAAAUCAUGAAGAACAAUUUUAAAAAUGUAUAUUUUAAGCAUGUCAUUAAUGCCACCUUCAUUUGCUGAAGUCUUUUUACAGUCCGCUCAGCCUGCAGUCUGCCUUCUUCACUUUCAGUGUUCUGCUGGACCAAAUCAGGACAGCACCUGAGAUCAGCUCUGCUGGCUGCUUUUUGUGCUUAGUUUUGCUUGGAGGUUCUCUGCCAUGAUGUUUGGGUAGAAACAGUGUAGAGACAUGGUUAUUUAUUUCAACCAUCUGUUUCCAUUGGCAUGAAGAUAGCCCAUUGCAGUAUUUCUCUUGUCUUCAGACUCUUUGCACACCUGGCAUGACUGCAGUAGUUAGCAGAUCCAAGUAACAGAUCCUGCUGUUACCAACAGCCCAUGCUUGUUUUGUGCAGAUAUAAAUAAUGACUGUUGUUGAAGGCAAUGCCCUUUUUCUGUUUUCCACUCUGAAUUUUUCUGCUCCCAGCCUGGGAAUAGCAGAGAAAUUACUACCCAGUGGAGUGGACUUCAAACUGGCAUUUCUACAGCAGUUUGUAUUGGCCUCUCUCUUCCAGCAAAAGCUUUUUGUGUUUGGUGCAAGAUAAAUAUGGGCUCUAACUGUCUACGUGUCUGUGUGUUACUGACUUCUCCAAAAAGGCCAACAGAAUUACAGAGUCAGGGCAAAAACCAGCACUGAGCAGCUGCCAUGUUGUUCCCUGCUGGGGCUGCCUGGCUUUUCAGGACAUGUUAUUCCCUAACUAAAACAUCUCCGUUAGUCCUGCUUCCCACCUGGCUGAAAUUGGAUUUCUUUGGGGAUCACCUGAAUGGUGACCACAGGCUUUGGUGAGUGCUGCCUCUUGAAUACGUGUCCUGCUUUCUUUUUCACCCUACAGGAGAUGACAUGAAUGCAGUCCCUGCUACCAAAGCUCACGCAGUCCAGUUCACCACGUGGUGGUAAAUCAGAGGGGUUGGUGUGCUCAAGGUGCAAGAAGUGGAUGGAAAAAAAGGCAACGAGCUCUAACAACACUGUAAUAUGUUUCCCUUGCCAGCCAGCAGCAUGCUUUGAGACAGCACUGUACCACACCACCUGUGUGACUUUGGUGAUAUGCUACAAGAGAAGCGGCUUCAUUUGGACAAGGAAAUGCCAGCACGGCACCCGUGGCAUCGUCACUGCAAGCAGAAAUGUAAGCAAGAGCAAAAAGCUUGGUUUGGGGUAUUGCUGAAGCAGUAGGCAAAUAUGCAGCUGUGAUGUUGAGAUCAGGGUGCCCCUGCUCCUGAACCCACUCACAGUCAGGACUGGCAGAAACCUUUGUGCUUGCAGCUUUGCGUCAUAUCCUCUCUCUCUCUCCCUCUCUCCCCCAGACCAAUGCCGUGUGGCUUUUGCAUUUUUUUAUUCCCUUGUCUGCCUGUUUUUCUCGUAUGUGUGGGCUGAAGAUUUGGUCACGCUGUGUGCCAGCAGACUCACCCACAGGACAGAUAGGAAAGAGCAGGAAGGCAGUGUUGUUCCUGGAAAUGUAGCUCUUGGGCUGCAGUUACGCAUAGGAACUUGAUUUGUGUGCUGAUGUGUUUCUGCAUAUGACAGCAGGCAUCACUCCUAGUCACUACCAGGUCUGGAUGCCACGGUGUGACAGCCCGUUCUCUUGGUUAUCACCACACUUGUGUGCUACCUAGAAAUACAUCGCUCAGCUGCCUUACCUGUGAAAUGCCAGUGGGCUGCUGGAGAGUGCUCUGCUUUGCAGGGGGAGAGCACUGGGCUCCUUCUCCCUGGGCGUGCUUUCUCCCUCCACACCGAGUGAAAGCCAGGGCAGCAACCUGCUCAUCUCCUCGUUCUGCCUUCUGCAGUGGGCAGCAUGUGGCCGGGGCUCCCUCCCCUUGUGACCCACCCUGUGUGCUACCUCCACAUGCUCUGAAACGCUUCUUACGGCGCUGGCAGCGUGUUUGUGAGGUCUGCUGGGACAGUCAGGCUGGCUUUAAGUUGGGCUUGGAGCUGAGCAAAGCUCAGGAACAGAAAGCAUUUUAAAACCAUGUUUCACAGAAGACUUGAUCUGAGCUCCAUUUGCAGCACUUGCAAGGCGGCAUUUUGUCAGCAUUGAACCUCCAGCUGCUCAGUAAUCAUUUCACUCAGCUCAGAUGGAGGGCACAGAGCAGGGGGGGGUGGAUAUUUCCCAAACAUUCCUCUUUUUGGUUACACACCAAUGUCGUGGUGGUUUGCUGACAAGCUGGAGCCCCACCCCAGCGAUUCAGGCUCAGCCUUUGGGAGAAGAGUGAGACCGCUCUGAGGAAAAUGAUUUAAAAUGCCUUCAGAUGCCUUUUCACUUCUUUUAUUUAAUUCCAUAAAUAUUUUCAUAAGGCUCAGUGUCUUUACAACACUUUUUUAAACACUUUUUUUUUUGUUUUAUACACACAACUUUGACACUUGUUUGACAGGGUCAAACAGUCCAAUAUAAACAAAAUAAUAAAACUGGCAAGUGCGGAUCAGCCGGGUUACCAAAAUCCUUUUUUUUNNNNNNNNNNNNNNNNNNNNNNNNNNNNNNNNNNNNNNNNNNNNNNNNNNNNNNNNNNNNNNNNNNNNNNNNNNNNNNNNNNNNNNNNNNNNNNNNNNNNUUUUAAAUUCUCUGCUACAAGUCCCUGUCAUCAUAGUGCCUUUAGACUCCUACAGACUCUUCUUUUCUUCUCAAGGAAAAAUAAGCUCAGUGAUGCCAUGCAGAACUUACAAUAGCUACUAAAUAUACAUGUUCCCUGAAAUGUAGCUGCGAUGAAAAGAUGACAGAGCAUAAAGAGAACAAAACCAGAAACCCAAAGCACCACAGUGUACUAUCAAUAACAUUGCAAUGGAUGGCCAGUGACCAUCCAGAAACUGAAACAAAUUUCAAAUAUAUUUCUCUAUGUAUUAUUUUCUAUUUACAACUGUUAGAUGCACCUAGGUUGAUCCUUGUUUGAUUGUUUUGGAGAGGGUAGGGAGGCGAAAGUCUUGAAUUUAGAUCCUCUGUUCUAGUGUCUAGGUCAAGGGGUAAUGCAUGUCAUUUACCUAGGGAGGAGGGUAUUUUUGUUGGUUGUUUUUUUUUUUCCUAUGUAUAUAUAUAGUUUCAGCCAGAGAAAUACCGUAAACAUGUAAGUUUGUUACAACUCUCUCAUUUCUGCGUAUGGAAUGGUAAGUGGGUUCCUCCUGUCUGGCAUUGAAAUGAAAGUCUGUAUCAGAUGCUCAGUCAAAAUCACCCCGAUCUGACAGCAUCUGUGCUGCUUCCAGCACUUUCAGACACAGCGAGGCAGCCCAGCCCUGCUCCCUAUUGGGAAAGCCACGGUAGGUAGUAAAAGUGGGACCCAGUGCUGGUUCUUCUUUGCGAUAAUGCUCCAUCUCUUGCAGCACCUUGGCAAUUUGUGGAAGGGAAGGGCUUUCUUGAGCGCCAUGUGAGAGCCAAGCCCCUCUUCCCUCUGGAACAAGCGGCUGCGGCUGCUCCGCCUGCCGCCCGGCUUCGGCAAGCGCUAGCGGCGCUCGUUUGUUUUGGCUUUCCACUUAAGAAGGAAGCUGCGAGUCCAACAAGUGGCCUUGUCAGAUCGAGCGAGUCUUGAGUUAUGAUGCAAAUAAUGGUGUGGCGGUGGAGUUUCUUUUUUCCUAGCGCUGAAUAUUUAGGAAGCAUCUUCUCAUAA